rnacentral:rRNA from 1 species
AUUGAACGCUGGCGGCAGGCUUAACACAUGCAAGUCGAGCGGAGUGAUGGUGCUUGCACUAUCACUUAGCGGCGGACGGGUGAGUAAUGCUUAGGAAUCUGCCUAUUAGUGGGGGACAACAUCUCGAAAGGGAUGCUAAUACCGCAUACGUCCUACGGGAGAAAGCAGGGGAUCACUUGUGACCUUGCGCUAAUAGAUGAGCCUAAGUCGGAUUAGCUAGUUGGUGGGGUAAAGGCCUACCAAGGCGACGAUCUGUAGCGGGUCUGAGAGGAUGAUCCGCCACACUGGGACUAAGACACGGCCCAGACUCCUACGGGAGGCAGCAGUGGGGAAUAUUGGACAAUGGGGGGAACCCUGAUCCAGCCAUGCCGCGUGUGUGAAGAAGGCCUUAUGGUUGUAAAGCACUUUAAGCGAGGAGGAGGCUCUUUUGGUUAAUACCCAAGAUGAGUGGACGUUACUCGCAGAAUAAGCACCGGCUAACUCUGUGCCAGCCGCCGCUGUAA